CAGUUCUCACAGUGCUGAUGCUGUCCAUUGUAAAGGUACAGUACUGUGAUAACUGAA
rnacentral:pre_miRNA from 1 species